CCUUUGUACACACCGCCCGUCGCUACUACCGAUUGAAUGGCUCAGUGAGGCUUCCGGACUGGCCUAGUGAGGUGGGCAACUACCACGCGGGGCCGGAAAGGUAUGCAAACUCGGUCAUUUAGAGG
rnacentral:rRNA from 1 species